GAAAAUCAAGUUCACAUACGAAUCCAAAUCCGAGUCACGUUCGCCUACAAACCUAUAUCAAAUCAAACCCAAACCUAACCCAAACCAAGUCCACAUAAGAACCCAAACCAAAUCUACAAAUAAACCCAAACCAAUCCAAACCAAGUCCACAAAAUAAACCCACAAAUAAACCCAAACCCAAAACCCAAAUAAACCUAAACCCAAAACCCAAAUAAACCCAAACUUGAACCCAAAUAAAUCCAAACCUAAACCAAGUCCACACAUAAAACCAAAACCCAAACCCAAAUCAAAUUCAAACCCAACCUGAACCAAAACCAAAUCUCAUGGACCAAAUUCCAUGAACCAAAGCCAAACCUCAUAGACCAAAUCCCAUGAACCAAAACCAAACCUCAUGGACCAAAUCCCAUGAACCAUAACCAAAUCUCAUGGACCAAAUCCCAUGAACCAAAACCAAAUUCAUGGACCAAAUCCUAUGAACCAUAACCAAACCUCAUGGACCAAAUCCCAUGAGCCACAACUAAACCUCAUGGACCAUAUCCCAUGAACCAAAAUCAAACCUCAUGGACCAAAUCUCAUGAACCAAAACCAAAUCUCAUGGACCAAAUCCCAUGAACCAAAACUAAACCUCAUGGACCAAAUCCCAUGAGCCACAACCAAACCUCAUGGACCAAAUCCCAUGAACCACAACUAAACCUCAUGGACCAAAUCUCAUGAACCAAAACCAAGUUCAUGGACCAAAUCUCAUGAAUCAAAACCAAACCUCAUAGACCAAAUCCCAUGAGUCAAAACCAAAUCUCAUGGACCAAAUCCUAUGAGCCAAAACCAAGUUCAUGGACCAAAUCCUAUGAGCCAAAACCAAGUUCAUGGACCAAAUCCUAUGAGCCAAAACCAAGUUCAUGGACCAAAUCCCACGAACCAAAACCAAAUCUCAUGGACCAAAUCCAAU
rnacentral:lncRNA from 1 species